UGAAGCGGAGGCUCGUCCGAGGCGGCGUCCGCCUCCCGGAACCGAGUUCUGACCCAGAGGUUCUGACCCGGCAAACGGCUGGGAUGGCGAGAAGCGUCCUGACAGAUGCGGGUCAGCCCGAUCUCCGAAGGCGCACGUGGCCUCAUCCCACUUCUCUGCCCAGCGCCCUCCCGUGGCUUCUUCCUCUCUUAGUCGGUAAAAGCCAAGGCCCGCGCACACAGUCGAGUCCCAUGGGCUCCUAGCCACUCGCCCAUCGAUCUCUCUCUCGAAAGGGGGUGAGUAUGCUUCCCCAUGUAGGCCUUGGCACUUGCUGUGUGCCUGCGCCAGGUGUGCUUUUCUUAUGCCGACCUGGCAUUCCUUCACUUCAUUCGUCUGCUGCCAUGUCACCUUUUAAGACAGACUUUCCCUGACCUUGUGUCAAGUGGCAACCGCUGCCAGCACCCGUUUCCCACCGCCGCCCCUCCCUAGCUCCCUCUCAGUUGCUGGCUUCCCGCCGGUAACACUUAUCAACAUCUGACACGUUUUAUAUGUUGUUUUCUAUGUCCGCCACCCCUACUAGAACGUGAUACGCUCCACAUGGAUAGGAAUUUUGUCUAGUUCCCUGCUGUACCACUAGUGCCUAGAACCACUGUCUGGCACGCAGUAGGUGUUCGUUGUUGAAGAAGUGAAUAAAUGGUCUGUGCCCAUGCACAGGCCGAAGUUGUUCCAAGCGGCUGAUAUUCAACAUACCCACAAUAUUGUCAUGAUUUUGACAUUGGCAGUGCCCACUCUCAGGAUGCCUUGUAUCCACUCUGUAUCUUGAAAGCUGGCUCUGUACUCUUAGCCAUGACUGAGAUUCCUCCGCACUGUGGUGUGCUGUUCCAAGGACAAAGGCAUUCAAGUUUUUCAUGAAAAACCAGGAGUUUCUUGAAGACAAAGAAUAGAAAAGAGCAAUUUAACUACUAAGGUGGGUAUGGAACUAGGUAUAUAUCUAGGAUAGAUCAAUUAAGCUCUGCUCAGAUGUCAACAGAGCAGGUGAAGGAGGCUUGUGUCAAUCCAGAAGGUUCUUGGGAAAAUUUACCUUCGCUGCCAAGUUCCUUUAAGCCUAAAAAUCUACAGCUGAUGACUAAUCCUUUAUUCCAUAUUAAAACGCAAAUACCCUAAGAGAGAGGAUAUUGAAUUUCAGCAGUCAUUAGCACCUUUGUGUGAAUUACUCCGGAAUCUUUCUUGAAGGCAGGUUUGGAAAAGGCAAGGGGAGAAAGGAGGAGCUAAGGAACAAGGGGAAGAAAAGUUCCAGAGCCAAGGAAGGAGCAUAAAGCUGAGCUUGCCAAGGACAAACUUUGGCCUGUUUUAUAGUUUCGCCCAGGGCUGUCUCUGGUAAUCAAAGUACAGCAGGUCCUCAAACAAUGAGGUUUCAAUAUGAUGUUGAUGAGAGAAAAAAAUUGAACCCCAGUUGGGGCCACUGUCGGUGGAGUUUGCAUAUUCUCCCGGUGUCUGCGUGGGUUUUCUUGGGGGACUUCGGUUCCCUCCCACAUCUCAAAAAGGGGCAUGGAGGUGAAUGUCUAAAUGGUUCCCACCUGAGUGCGAGUGUGCCCUACGGUGGAAGGUGGUUCGCACCUGAGCUUCUGGGAUAGGCUCUGGCCACCCACAACCCUGAACUAAAAUAAGUGGGUUGGAAAAUAAUUAUGUUACUUGUUUUUAUUAAUUUUUCUUUCAGUGUUUAAUGUUAGAGGUCUUUGGGGUCUUUAUUUAGAUGUUUGGUGAUGUUUUUGUGGCCAGAAUUGAACCCUUGUUUGUGUCAGUAAGCCUACGGAUAAAUUGGUGUCAUUAUAUCUUGUUUGGCUUGAAGUCACCGUUUCCAAGAACCUGUUGACAAUGUUAGGUGAGGCCUUGCUGUACACAUGAUCUCUAGCUCCAGAUUCUCAGUAGGCAAAUCAUGGCACUUAAAAUUAUAGCUAUAAUUACCUGAAAUGUUUUGAUAACCCAGUGGGGACAAGGUACAUUGGAAACGAAGAGGAAGGGCUGACCUAGAAUGUAGUGGGACUGAAAGGCUAUCAGAUUUUUGGAAAGAUAAGCAGGAAAGGGCGGAGGCAUUGCAUUAUACAUAUGCACAUGAUCCUGGCCGGAGAAAUAGGAAACCGAAUGAAAAGAGUUUUUGUGUGGAGGUAAAAUGAGUAAAAUGGAGCACUAUGUGCUCUCAGUUGACAUGCCAGGAACAAAAAGGUGAGACAGGUUUCUUUGAGCAAGCAGCAAGGGAUGGUGAGGGAAAAUACUAAAGACCAAUAUAUUUUUUAAAAGACCAAUAUAUAUACAUGCUUUUAAAAAAGUAACAGGUCACCAAUAUCAGACAAGUACCUCCACGUUUGAAGAAUUUGGUUCUUCAUUGUAGGAGUUUUUGUAAUCAAUCAGGGCGGACGCCUUUGUUGAUUUGUUAUUUCUGGUAGAAAAGAAUGAGGCAAGAGCCUGGAGGGAGGCAACAGCUUUGCUGGAGGUGACCAUACGGUGAUGAAAGUUGGGGUUGUGUCGCACAGGGAGCUGUUUCCACACAUAGUGUGCAAGCAGGGCAUGUGUGCCCUGGGUAAAGGUGGGAAAGAGAUGUUUUCACUCCUUUAGUUUCUUCUGGUUUGGAGAAUCUGCCUCUCACCAGCUGUGUGAACUCCAGCAAGUUUAAAACCCCCACCUGUCUGUUUCCCUAUCCAUGAAAUGGGAGUGAAGACUAGUAGUUCCUGUUGCUGAGGUCUUUUAUUAUUAUUAUUAUUAUUAUGCUCACUGAGGUCUUUUAUUUUAUUAUGUUUUUAUUGAUUUGAGAGAGAGGAAGGGAGAGGAAGAGAGAAACAGUGAUGUGCUUUUGGUGUCAUACCUAAGAAGGCUUUGCCUAACUCAAGGUUACAGAGAUUUACUUCUGUAUUUUCUUCUAAGAGUUGUAUAGUUUUAGCUCUUACAGUUAAGUCUGUGAUCCAUUUGGAGUUCAUUUUAUACAUGGUAUGAGGCAGGGAUCCAACUUCAUUCUUUUGCGUGUGGAGAUCCAGUUGUCCCAACAAGAGACUAUUCUUCCCCCAUUACGUUGUCUUGGUACCCUUGUCAAAUUAAUUGACUAUAAAUGUGAGCGUUUAUUUCUGGACAGCGUGAAACUUUUAAAACAUUUAUACUUGCAAGGGAUGGGGGAGGGAGAAUUAGUGAUUAGGGGGGCUUCAGAGGUACUGGGAAUGUUCUGUUUCAUGAACUGAGUGUGUUUAGUUUAUGAAAACUCACGAUAUACUUAAAAUAAUGGACUUUUUGUAUAUUAUACUGCAAUAAAAAAUUAUGUCUUUUUUAA